UAGGGCAGAGGACUGAAAAUCCUCGUGCCACCAGUUCAAAUCUGGUUCUUGGCA
rnacentral:tRNA from 1 species